rnacentral:rRNA from 1 species
UACGAAGGGGGCUAGCGUUGUUCGGAAUUACUGGGCGUAAAGCGCGCGCAGGCGGUCUUCCAAGUCAGUGGUGAAAGCCCGGAGCUCAACUCCGGAACUGCCAUUGAAACUGUUAGACUUGAGGAUGAGAGAGGUGAGUGGAAUUCCCAGUGUAGAGGUGAAAUUCGUAGAUAUUGGGAAGAACACCGGUGGCGAAGGCGGCUCACUGGCUCAUUACUGACGCUCAGGCGCGACAGCGUGGGGAUCAAACAGU